UGAGGGUGGGCGGUGGAGGUGGAGUUUUUUCUCCGCUGGUUUUUCAUCUCUAUGAUUAUCAGAGGCGGGCGGCUUUGACCCAAGAGAAUUGGCAGCUCUAGUGUGGACAGCUCAGGGGCCUGAGAGGAGUCCUUAGUCGUGUCUGCUUCCAGUCCUCCGCUUUCCUUCAGCUCACCUCGUCUCGUCCCUUUUCGCUGUCCCGGGAGAUCUGCCAGUGCCGAGUUCCCAACCGCAAGGUUCACUUGGGCGCCGUCGUCUCUCGCUUCUCGGACAACCAGGAGACGCACAGGAAGUACAUUGUACCAGCUUACACGUUCCUUAGCAGUGCCAUUUCUACAGUAUUGCCAAAUGUUUCGUCUUAACUCCCUUUCUGCACUAGCAGAACUGGCUGUGGGCUCUCGAUGUUACCAUGGAGGAUCACAGCCCACCCAGAUGAGGCGACGACUAGUGAUGGUGGCUUUCCUGGGAGCAUCUGCAGUGACUGCAAGUACCGGUCUCCUGUGGAAGAGGCGAGUGUUCGCUGAGGAUCCUCUUCCUGCACGUGCUUUCAUUUUUCUAGUUGUCUCUGCUCUCUCAAAGGAUUACAUUGAUUUCUGGCUUAACUUUGUACCAUAAUUUCUUGGCCAAAUCAUUUGGCGUUGAUAAUAUGUGUCUAUGAGAUAAGAUGUUUCAAAGAAUUCAGCAAUUGUGUUAAAGCAACAAAUAGGAAAUAUUCUGCUUCAAGGUCUGCCUGUCUCCUCUGCUGAGCUAUUUAAA